UACGUAGGGUGCAAGCGUUGUCCGGAAUUAUUGGGCGUAAAGAGCUCGUAGGCGGUUUGUCGCGUCUGCUGUGAAAACUCGGGGCUUAACUCCGGGCCUGCAGUGGGUACGGGCAGACUAGAGUCCGGUAGGGGAGUGUGGAAUUCCCGGUGGAGCGGUGAAAUGCGCAGAUAUCGGGAGGAACACCCGUAGCGAAGGCGGCACUCUGGGCCGGAACUGACGCUGAGGAGCGAAAGCGUGGGGAGCAAACAGG
rnacentral:rRNA from 1 species